rnacentral:rRNA from 1 species
UACGUAGGGUGCGAGCGUUAAUCGGAAUUACUGGGCGUAAAGCGUGCGCAGGCGGCGCGUUAAGACAGGUGUGAAAGCCCCGAGCUUAACUUGGGAAUUGCGCUUGUGACUGGCGUGCUGGAGUGUGGCAGAGGGAGGUGGAAUUCCACGUGUAGCAGUGAAAUGCGUAGAGAUGUGGAGGAACACCGAUGGCGAAGGCAGCCCCCUGGGCUAACACUGACGCCUCAUGCACGAAAGCGUGGGGAGCAAACAGG